GACAGAGGGUGCGAACGUUGUUCGGAAUUACUGGGCGUAAAGCGCGUGUAGGCGGCAGCGUAAGUCGGGCGUGAAAUCCCCGGGCUCAACCCGGGAACUGCGUCCGAUACUGGCAGGCUUGAAUUCGGGAGAGGGAUGCGGAAUUCCAGGUGUAGCGGUGAAAUGCGUAGAUAUCUGGAGGAACACCGGUGGCGAAGGCGGCAUCCUGGACCGAGAUUGACGCUGAGGCGCGAAAGCCAGGGGAGCAAACGGG
rnacentral:rRNA from 1 species